GAUGAACGCUGGCGGCGUGCCUAAUACAUGCAAGUCGAGCGAACAGACGAGGAGCUUGCUCCUCUGACGUUAGCGGCGGACGGGAGAGUAACACGUGGAUAACCUACCUAUAAGACUGGGAUAACUUCGGGAAACCGGCGCUAAUACCGGAUAACAUGUUGAACCAAAUGGUUCAACAGUGAAAGACGGUCUUGCUGUCACUUAUAGAUGGAUACGCGCCGCAUUAGCUAGUUGGUAAGGUAACGGCUUACCAAGGCAACGAUGGGUAGACGACCUCAGAGCGAGAACCAGCAGACGGGCUGUGAGGCACAGCCCACACUCCGACGGUGAGACACGGUAGAGAAUCUUCCGCGAGGCAGGAGUGCCUGACGUUGCAACACCGCGGAAAUGAUGAAGCUCUUCUGAUGGGAAAACGCUGUUAGUAGGAAGGAACAAAAGUGUUAUUAACUAUGAACGUCUUGACGGUACCUGGUCAGAAAGCCACGGCUAACUUCGUG
rnacentral:rRNA from 1 species